rnacentral:misc_RNA from 1 species
CAGGAAGGUACAGGCUCAGCUGCGUGAAAGAGCUGCAGUCAAAGAAGACAAGAAGGUUGAAGCCUCCAAAGGAAAAGGUAAAGAGAGUGAAACUGUGGAUUCCCUUCUUAAGCUGCUGAGGAAACACUCAAUUGAGCAACGUAAGAAAAAAGUCAGCAGUCAAGACUUUGCUGUGGACCAUCAGGAGCAGAGCAGAUCACAGAGUAAGGAUAAAAGCACAAGUUUCCUAAAUCUAAAUGACAAAGAAAGGAGUAGAGUCCCAGAACCUAAUUCCUCUUCUUUUACCAGACCACCAUCAAAUUUCCAACGCAAAUCUCCAGUUCCUCAAGUGAAAUUCAAGCCCAUAAAUGCAAAUGAAGAUCCUGUUAAUUCUACACCUUAUUUGAAUUUAUAUGGUGAGAAAAAGAAGAAAUUUGAGGAGCUUCCUAAUACUGCCCAGCAGACAGAAAACAACAGAACUAUAAGAGAACAAAAAGGAGCAUUUCAAGAUGAAAAAACUAUCUAAAACUCAGUUCUAUUGUCUUAGCUUUCUCUCCUGAAUCAUUUAUCAGACUGAGCCACCACUUAGCAACUUCACUAACUCACCUUUCUUCAUCUUUGAAAACCCUUUUAUACCACGAGCCUUUGCAAUUGCUCUCAACCCUGGCAGCUUCAAUGAACUCAAAUCCUCGUGUUCAAUCUCCUCUCUUUUAUCACUAUACGCAUCAAUAUUAUCAAUAUCUGAAGACUCCUCUCCUGUUAACUCGUUGAAAACAUCACCUUCAGAGAAAGAGGACUCUGGCUCCUGCUCUAAUUCCAACUCAGCCUCCUCUGGCUCCAAUUCUGUCUGCUGGGCAGUAUUAGGUAGCUCCUC